GACAGAGGAUGCAAGCGUUAUCCGGAAUGAUUGGGCGUAAAGCGUCUGUAGGUGGCUUUUUAAGUCCGCCGUCAAAUCCCAGGGCUCAACCCUGGACAGGCGGUGGAAACUACCAAGCUGGAGUACGGUAGGGCAGAGGGAAUUUCCGGUGGAGCGGUGAAAUGCGUAGAUAUCGGGAGGAACACCUGUGGCGAAAGCGGCUCACUGGACCAUAACUGACGCUGAUGCACGAAAGCUGGGGAGCAAACAGG
rnacentral:rRNA from 1 species